GAUGAAUACAAGGGCACGUCCACUUAUUCCUUGUCCUGGAAUUCAAAAGGCCUGUGAAUGAAGCCACAUGUACGAAGAGACAAUGAAGAACAGGCUGCAUGUAACUACUGGCUCUAUCACUUUCUCUUCGUGUGAUCUUGGGAGCUCACCCCCAGUGUGGUCAGAAAAUUGGAGAAUUUUGAAGAAAACAGGAUGGUCAAUGAGCUCAGAGGCCAUGGCUCAUGAGAACUAAGUCUGCUGCUGCUGCUGCUGUGUCAUCUGCUGACGCUCUUUCACAUGAUUUUAUGCAAGGGAUGGACAAGGGAAUGAGGAGCAAAAGGCACAGAAAAUAUAUCAGAAAUAACAGACCAAAAUGCCUCUACUGACUCUCAUCUAGUAAUAUGGACUUCACAGUAUCCAAUUUUAAUUUUUUUACGUCCUCCAAUUUUGCCUCUUUUUAAAAACAAUUAUUGUAAACUCUCCCUGUAUGUAUUUUGUAAUCACAGGUGAUAGUGUCUGCACCAACAUUUAUUGCCUUCUACCAGCAUCUUCCAUAUGAGACUAUGCCCAUUAACAUGACACUUGACUUCUCCACAUCCUUUUAUUUACUCCUCCCAGGGGUUAAGUAGUACUAUAUCUUUGGGAGGGGUGGUAGGGCAUGAAACAGCUCACUCUUCUUUCCCCCUUCCUUUUUAAAGGGAAAGGCCACACAGAGUUCCAGUACCAUCUACAGUUUGGUUGUUAUGUUUGAGUAAUUCUGAAGAGCUGUGUACACAAAAUUGACUUCUCUGACAGUAAUAAGUCUAAAAUGGCACUGUCCCAAAAUUAUUAUUGGCAGCAAUAAAGCAAUUUUGUUAUUCAUCUUCUUUAUUCUUUAACUCAAUA